rnacentral:rRNA from 1 species
UACGAAGGGGGCUAGCGUUGUUCGGAGUUACUGGGCGUAAAGGGCGCGUAGGCGUCGCAUCAAGUCAGGCGUGAAAGCCCUGGGCUCAACCCGGGAAUUGCGCUUGAGACUGGUGUGCUUGAGUACGGGAGAGGAUAGUGGAAUUCCCAGUGUAGAGGUGAAAUUCGUAGAUAUUGGGAAGAACACCGGUGGCGAAGGCGGCUAUCUGGACCGUAACUGACGCUGAGGCGCGAAAGCGUGGGGAGCAAACAGG